rnacentral:rRNA from 1 species
UACAGAGGUCUCAAGCGUUUGUUCGGAUUCAUUGGGCGUAAAGGGUGCGUAGGCGGCCGUGUGUGUGAGGCGUGAAAGCCUGGAGCUUAACUCCAGAAUUGCACCUCAAACUACAUGGCUAGAGCAUUGGAGAGGGUAGCAGAAUUCAUGGUGUAGCAGUGAAAUGCGUAGAUAUCAUGAGGAAUACCAGAGGCGAAGGCGGCUACCUGGACAAUUGCUGACGCUCAGGCACGAAAGCGUGGGGAGCAAAAGGG